GACAGAGGCCUCGAGCGUUAGGCGGAAUCACUGGGCGUAAAGCGUGCGCAGGCGGUUCGUUGUGUCGGCGGUGAAAGCCCCGGGCUCAACCUGGGAAUGGCCGUUGAAACUGGCGAACUGGAGUGUGGCAGAGGGGGGUGGAAUUCCGCGUGUAGCAGUGAAAUGCGUAGAGAUGCGGAGGAACACCGAUGGCGAAGGCAGCCCCCUGGGCUGACACUGACGCUCAGGCACGAAAGCGUGGGGAGCAAACAGG
rnacentral:rRNA from 1 species